GGGCGGUUAGCUCAGCUGGUAGAGCAUCUCGUUUACAUCGAGAGGGUCGGCGGUUCAAACCCGUCACCGCCCACCA
rnacentral:tRNA from 1 species